ensembl:lncRNA
AAAAUCAGGGAAGUGGUCGGCGGAGGGCCAGGUCAAGGCAGAAGAGGGUGAUGCAGGUCUGAUCCGGUGGGAGUGCUGACGGUGUCCUUGUAGGAAGAGGUGGUCAGGGCUCAGACACAUUCAGAGGGCGACCCUGGAGGACACGGGGAGGGGACGGCCACCCGCACACCCAGGAGAGGGGCCUCAGGAGGCAAGCCCCGCCCGCACCUGGAUCUGGGAUUCUGGCUUCCAGGCCUGGAGACGAGCAGCUCUCUCCCCUGACCAUAGCACAGACUCGACCUCAGUCCACCGCCGAGCGCUGACCGGCCACCACGUGCCUGCCGACCACCUCCCCUCACUUGCUGUGCUCUGUCUUCGCUCUGCCGUCUUCCUUUCUGACCCCCAGACGGUCCUGGGUCUCUGUGCACCCAUGGCCCCUGGGCUCAGCCAUCCGCCCCUGAGCCCUGGUCACUUCCUGGAGGCUGGUGUAGGGACUGAGGCCCUGGUGUCUGGGCACCCUCGCAAGGGCAGGAUGGAGCAAGCUGCAGGCCCAAACCCGUACACACCCCGCACCACCAGGGAGCACCCAGCCAGUCUCCGCCAGCCUCACCCGGACCCCCGGCCCAGCCGAGCCAGGUCCCCCGGGACUUGCCGUGGCCGCGUCCCUCCCUGACCUCCAGCAUCACCCCCGGGUGGGCACGUCCUCUGCAUGUCUUGCUGCCCUCCUCCUGCCCUCGGGGCUCCUUCUGGGCAGCGUCUAGCUUGGGCGUUCUAGGAGUCGCUGCCUCUCCCCAUCCGUUGCCAGGGACCUUGCCCAGAGCUGAGGACGCUGAGACCCCGUCUUCAGCCCGGGCCCCUGUGCCCAGCUGUCUGUCUGGAAGCAGCCACGUCCUCCCCCCCGCAGAGCCAGCCCCACAGCCGCUCUGGGCACAGGCCUGGGUGCCCCGUCUCCCUGGUCCGCCACGUCCUGGGGGCUCUGCCUCUCGAAUCUCUCUGCACCCAAAGCCGCUCUCCCCCCGCCCCCAGGGAGUGACAGCGGCUCCCAUCCUGCCUCGACUGUUCUCCACGCUGCAGAGAACUUUCUAGAAGGCAGAGCCCUCAAUACUUGCCCGCUGCUGGACUAUGUGCUUCCUGGAUUGGGCCCAUGUCCACACGGCUAGUGAGGUCACCCAGGGGUGCCACCCUCAGGGGGUCGCAAGGGGUGUGGGGCCAGCCAAGCUGCGUUGGGUGGGUGUCUGCCGGUUUGGCUCAGUUCCCGUGGCCCUCUGUACCCAUAAGUCUGGGGGCUUCCCAGGUGGCUCAGACCGUUAAGAGUUCGCCUCCAAUGCAGAUGUGGCUUCGAUCCCUGGGUUGAGAAGACCCCCUGGAGGAGGGCAUGGCUACCCACUCCAGUAUUCUUCCCUGGAGAAUUCCGUGAACAGAGGAGCCUGGCGGGCUACACGCCAGCGGGUCCCGCAGAGUUGGACCCAAGUGAGCGCACACACCCGUAAAUCUACUGCCCUGCCCCAAGCGCCACGUCACGCCCACUGCCCCCAGCCCAGGGAGUCACCCUCUGGAACCUCGUGUUUGGCAUUUGCUUGCAAGAAGAUCAUUCCCCAAACCCACCGGAGUAGGUCCCACC